GAAGUGAGCCGCCCUCGGGUGCUUGCCAUC
rnacentral:piRNA from 1 species